AGGGGCGGCUUGGAGGCUAGUCAGCCUUUGAGCGUGCUCUGUGGGACAGACGGCUGGCCCGGGCACCCUCAGUGCACAGCCACCAGGAGGGCAUCACCACGGUGCUGGCCCCAGACAGACAGUUGGCCCUGGCUCCCUGUCCGUGCUUGUCUCACACUGCGCAGCCGUCUACCCUCACUCCUGCCCCACUCUGUGCAAGCCGAAUCCACAGCUAAUGAGGACUGACUUUUUCUUUGAUGUCAGCAUCCCCGCUGAACACUAAGCCACGUGAGGCAGGAAGCAUGGACCUGCUGGCUCACCGCUAUGUCCUCAGGGCACAGGGCCCCACCCACAAGCUCAGGCACUGAAUGAAAUUUUGGACUUGCCACGCCAUCCUGUUUCCUCUCAAAUCUCACUUGUCCUCUUGCUGGCUGCCAUCCCCCACGUGCCCCUGCGUCUGCAGAGAAGGCCGGACGCUGGGACUGGCCCCCCGGGCUGUGAGUCUGUGCCGCUCAGCUGGUGAGGAGGCAAAAAUAAAGAAAUCAGCCUGAGCAGGAAGAGGGAACGCUGUGGCUUCAGGGAACGCCCUGGAUUAUAGAAAUAGCGGUGGCCCCACUCCGUUUGGGAAGGUGGUCCUUUAGGUGUCAGAAUUCACUUCAAGUUUUCCCUCUGUGGCUGAGGCCCCUCUCUUUCCAGCUGAAGGCUUAUUGAGAAGGAGGCUGGGACGGCCGCGCUGGAAAAUGCCGCCUUCGUGACGUCUCAGUCAGGGGCUGACGUUCCUCUGCGAGUUCCAGCUCGAGCUGGGUUUUCCCCGGUGCCCCAGCACCGUCUGUAACAUCAGUGAUGUGACACCGCACAUCCUCGCUGGGGGGCAGUGUGGAGGGCAGCCCUGCUCUAUGACACACCGUGAAACACUUACCUCACAGACUGCUGCCGAAAGACCCAGACGUAUUUUUGAAUAUUUACAUUGAGAAAUACCCCGACCAGAUAAAAUAUGUGAAAACUUUAUAAGCUGAUAGAAGUCUCAUAAAUGAUCCUUUUAAUUAUGUUAUGGAAAUCUAAAUUAUGGUCCUCUAUAAAGUAAGUGAAAGCAUUGGAACAACUUCCUCCAAAUGGGCCUUUGAAAUGGAUCUAAUAACUCCAAAUGCUCCAUUCUCUUUUUUUUUUAAAGAUUGGCACCUGAGCUAACGUCUGUUGCCAGCCCUCUUCCCCU
rnacentral:lncRNA from 1 species